rnacentral:misc_RNA from 1 species
AAAAAAUGAAAAAUGAAAACAAAUUAUAGAGGGAAGGGGUAAGAACAUCAAAAAGAAGAGGACAAAAAAACAGAUGUAGGUAUAGCUUCAUCUUUGCCUUACCUUAAAACCCUCGUUGUUGAAGGUACAAAAUGUGUUUGAGAAACAACUUCCCUCCUUCCCGUUUUUGCUAAGGUUGGGAACAGGAAGACACGGCUCCCUCCGAUCUGCGAGCAGCCUGGCCUGAAACUGAGGAUUUGUCCGAUCCACGAACAUUGUACUUUUCAUACACCUUUUCACGAUUCUCAGACCACCAAGUUUCUGCUUGGUGCUCGCCAAAUCUUCUCCGGCUGAAGCGCACUCGUUUAAGAUCUCUAGUUCCGUCAUGCAGGGCCAUCAGUGUUAUAUAUACACCAGGUUCAUACUGUUCAAUCCACUCGGCCUCUACUUGAUUGCUGCUAGCAACCAAUGAUGUACCCCUUGAUCUCACACCAGUCUCACCAUCAUGAAGAGAUCUAGAUUCCCUCCCGUCAACAGAAUCUGUCACAGUACUAAUUGACUGAAUCCCUCCACCACCAUUGGGCAGUCUUGUAUCUGGAUGGUCAUUCAGGGAUCCAACUCCAAACAAUGGAUGGGUUGGACCCUGAGCUCCAUUUGACAAUGUGGAGUCAAUUCCCAUGGGGGAGGCCAAGGAAGUUCCACUGACGGAAUCAGAUCUUGAAUGCCUCUCUCCAUUUGCAUCAGCAUA